GAGUUGGUCGGGUGAUCGCCUCGAUAUCGUCAGCGAUGUCGGGGAGGAAAGUCCGAACACCGCAGGGCAGGAUGCCUCCUAACGGGAGGAGUUCACCAACGGAAGUUGGGGAGCAUGGAAAGUGCAACAGAAAGUAGACUACCCCGAUCCGCCUGCCGGCGGAUCGGGGUAAAGGUGAAACGGUGGUGUAAGAGACCACCAGUUCCGACGGCAACGUCGGGAGCUCGGUAAACCCCAUCCGGUGCAAGAUCAAAUAGAAGAGCAUGAGGUAGCCCGCCUCACUACGACUCUCGGGUAGGUUGCGUGAUCCCGACCGCGAGGCCGGAACCAGAUGAAUGAUCACCGUCCCGACAUCAUAGAUGUCGGGGUACAGAAUUCGGCUUACAGACCAACUCU
rnacentral:RNase_P_RNA from 1 species